rnacentral:rRNA from 1 species
AGUGAACGCUGGCGGUAGGCCUAACACAUGCAAGUCGAACGGCAGCACAGUAAGAGCUUGCUCUUACGGGUGGCGAGUGGCGGACGGGUGAGGAAGACAUCGGAAUCUACUGGUUCGUUGGGGAUAACGUAGGGAAACUUACGCUAAUACCGCAUACGACCUACGGGUGAAAGCAGGGGAUCUUCGAACCUUUCGCGAGUGAAUGAGCCGAUGUCGGAUUAGCUAGUUGGCGGGGUAAAGGCCCACCAAGGCGACGAUCCGUAGCUGGUCUGAGAGGAUGAUCAGCCACACUGGCACUGAGAAACGGCACAGACUCCUACGCGAGGACGCAGUGGGGAAUACUGCACAAUGGGGGAAAGCCUGAUCCAGCCCUACCGCGUGGGUGCAGAAGGACUUCGGGUUGUAAAGCGAUUUUGUUGGGAAAGAAAAGAAGCAGGUUAAUCCCCCGCUGUUCUGACGGUACCCAAAGAAUAAGCCCCGGCUAACUUCGUG